rnacentral:rRNA from 1 species
GGCCUAUGGGGCGCAGCAGGCGAGAAAACUUUGCAAUGUGCGAAAGCACGACAAGGUUAAUCCGAGUGAUUUCUGCUAAAGGAAUCUUUUGU